UACAGGGGGGGCAAGCGUUGUUCGGAAUUACUGGGCGUAAAGGGCUCGUAGGCGGCCAACUAAGUCAUACGUGAAAUCCCUCAGCUUAACUGGGGAACUGCGUGUGAUACUGGAUGGCUUGGAUUUGGGAGAGGGAUGCGGAAUUCCAGGUGUAGCGGUGAAAUGCGUAGAUAUCUGGAGGAACACCGGUGGCGAAGGCGGCAUCCUGGACCAAUAUUGACGCUGAGGAGCGAAAGCCAGGGGAGCAAACGGG
rnacentral:rRNA from 1 species